rnacentral:rRNA from 1 species
GAUGAACGCUGGCGGCGUGCCUAAUACAUGCAAGUCGAGCGAACAGAUGAGGAGCUUGCUCCUCUGACGUUAGCGGCGGACGGGUGAGUAACACGUGGAUAACCUACCUAUAAGACUGGUAUAACUUCGGGAAACCGGAGCUAAUACCGGAUAAUAUAUUGAACCGCAUGGUUCAAUAGUGAAAGACGGUUUUGCUGUCACUUAUAGCUGGAUCCGCGCCGCAUUAGCUAGUUGGUAAGGUAACGGCUUACCAAGGCAACGAUGCGUAGCCGACCUGAGAGGGUGAUCGGCCACACUGAAACUGAGACACGGUCCAGACUCCUACGGGAGGCAGCAGUAGGGAAUCUUCCGCAAUGGGCGAAAGCCUGACGGAGCAACGCCGCGUGAGUGAUGAAGGGCUUCGGAUCGUAAAACUCUGUUAUUGGGGAAGAACAAAUGUGUAAGUAACUAUGCACGUCUUGACGGUACCUAUUCAGAAAGCCACGGCUAACUACGU